CAGUAAUGUUUAAAUUAACACCAAGGACACCCUUGAAAGAAACAUGUGGGCAAUUUGACUUUAGAGAUUAUCCAAAGGUGAUACCCAUUAAGAGGAAUCCCAAAAGAAGAGAACACUCACAUGAUGACAGAAGUGCAUGCUGGUUAGUGUUGUUUUACAUAAUGAGACAAAAUUGAAGCAAAUAUGUAAAAGUAGAUGAAUAAAGUAAACCUCAAUGAAAAAGCCUCUGAGAAA
rnacentral:lncRNA from 1 species